UUGACUGUUUUGAUGAGGAACUUAAAGAUUACGAGUCCCGUCCGUUUGACUCAGAGUUUGGUACCAUAGGUUGGUACGAUCUUCGUUGGAGAAGGAAAAGGGAUGUUCCAGACACAGAAAAUAGUCAAACCAUUUACUACAAAGUCCGUUUCUGGGUGGAGUUAGUGGAACCGAAAAAGAUGUCUCCCUCACAGUGUUUGUGACAAAAGAAUUGCAUCGUUCCUUGGCGGCCUUUCAACAGAAGAAUAUUCAGAGAUUUCACGAGUGUCAUUUUGUAUAGACCACAAACAGCAGAGGUCCCAGCACAGAUCCCUGCGGAACACCAAUCGUCCUGGAUCUACAGCCUGAAAAGCACCAUUCCACCUCUUGCCUCUGUCUUCUCUGGGCAAGCCAGUUGUGAAUCCAAGCAUCCAAGCCACCAUUGACUCGGUGCAUCUUAAUUUUCUGGAUGAUCCUAUCAUGAGGUACCUUGUUGAAAGUAUUGCUAAAAUCCAUGUCAACAAUAUCCACUGCUCUACCUUCAUUGAUCACAUUCGUCACCUCCUCAAAAAAUUCAGUCAAGUUAGGAAGACAUGACCUGCCCUGCACAAAGC